rnacentral:rRNA from 1 species
UUCGGUUAAGUCCGCUAACGAGCGCAACCCUCGCUGUGUGUUAUAUGUGUCACACGGGACUGCCGGUCUUAAGCCGGAGGAAGGUGGGGAUGAUGUCAAGUCAGCAUGGCCUUUAUAUCCUGGGCUACACACACGCUACAAUGGCCAACACAAUAGGUUGCUAAGCCGCGAGGUGGCGCCAAUCCAUAAAGUUGGUCUCAGUUCAGAUUGUAGGCUGCAACCCGCCUGCAUGAAGAUGGAGUUGCUAGUAACCGCAGGUCAGCUAUACUGCGGUGAAUACGUUCCCGGGGCUU